AGGAGAAAGCUGGUCGCAAGCUAAGUGUUCGUGAUGAAGCCAAACCACUGUCAGUGGUGGAUAAAGUCUUACCGAUUGAAAAGUUUCAUUGCCCUGUUUCGUUCAACACGACACUCAAAGAAAUACCUGAUGACUUCAAGCGAGACCUUUCUGUCCUAGCUCUCCUCCAUUGUCAGAGUGAGGUUAAACGCAAAUUGGAGGAAC